GACGAACGCUGGCGGCGUGCUUAACACAUGCAAGUCGAACGGAAAGGCCCUGCUUUUGUGGGGUGCUCGAGUGGCGAACGGGUGAGUAACACGUGAGUAACCUGCCCUUGACUUUGGGAUAACUUCAGGAAACUGGGGCUAAUACCGGAUAGGAGCUCCUGCUGCAUGGUGGGGGUUGGAAAGUUUCGGCGGUUGGGGAUGGACUCGCGGCUUAUCAGCUUGUUGGUGGGGUAGUGGCUUACCAAGGCUUUGACGGGUAGCCGGCCUGAGAGGGUGACCGGCCACAUGGGGACUGAGAGACGGCCCAGACUCCUACGGGAGGCAGCAGUGGGGAAUAUGGCACAACGGGCGGAAGCCUGAGGCAGCAACGCCGCGUGCGGGAUGACGGCCUUCGGGUUGUAAACCGCUUUCGCCUGUGACGAAGCGUGAGUGACGGUAAUGGGUAAAGAAGCACCGGCUAACUACGUG
rnacentral:rRNA from 1 species